GCGAACGGGUGAGUAACACGUGGGUAACCUGCCCAUCAGAAGGGGAUAACACUUGGAAACAGGUGCUAAUACCGUAUAACAAUCGAAACCGCAUGGUUUUGAUUUGAAAGGCGCUUUCGGGUGUCGCUGAUGGAUGGACCCGCGGUGCAUUAGCUAGUUGGUGAGGUAACGGCUCACCAAGGCGACGAUGCAUAGCCGACCUGAGAGGGUGAUCGGCCACAUUGGGACUGAGACACGGCCCAAACUCCUACGGGAGGCAGCAGUAGGGAAUCUUCGGCAAUGGACGAAAGUCUGACCGAGCAACGCCGCGUGAGUGAAGAAGGUUUUCGGAUCGUAAAACUCUGUUGUUAGAGAAGAACAAGGAUGGGAGUAACUGUUCAUCCCUUGACGGUAUCUAACCAGAAAGCCACGGCUAACUACGUGCCAGCAGCCGCGGUAAUACGUAGGUGGCAAGCGUUGUCCGGAUUUAUUGGGCGUAAAGCGAGCGCAGGCGGUUUCUUAAGUCUGAUGUGAAAGCCCCCGGCUCAACCGGGGAGGGUCAUUGGAAACUGGGAGACUUGAGUGCAGAAGAGGAGAGUGGAAUUCCAUGUGUAGCGGUGAAAUGCGUAGAUAUAUGGAGGAACACCAGUGGCGAAGGCGGCUCUCUGGUCUGUAACUGACGCUGAGGCUCGAAAGCGUGGGGAGCAAACAGGAUUAGAUACCCUGGUAGUCCACGCCGUAAACGAUGAGUGCUAAGUGUUGGAGGGUUUCCGCCCUUCAGUGCUGCAGCUAACGCAUUAAGCACUCCGCCUGGGGAGUACGACCGCAAGGUUGAAACUCAAAGGAAUUGACGGGGGCCCGCACAAGCGGUGGAGCAUGUGGUUUAAUUCGAAGCAACGCGAAGAACCUUACCAGGUCUUGACAUCCUUUGACCACUCUAGAGAUAGAGCUUCCCCUUCGGGGGCAAAGUGACAGGUGGUGCAUGGUUGUCGUCAGCUCGUGUCGUGAGAUGUUGGGUUAAGUCCCGCAACGAGCGCAACCCUUAUUGUUAGUUGCCAUCAUUUAGUCGGGCACUCUAGCAAGACUGCCGGUGACAAACCGGAGGAAGGUGGGGAUGACGUCAAAUCAUCAUGCCCCUUAUGACCUGGGCUACACACGUGCUACAAUGGGAAGUACAACGAGUCGCAAAGUCGCGAGGCUAAGCUAAUCUCUUAAAGCUUCUCUCAGUUCGGAUUGUAGGCUGCAACUCGCCUACAUGAAGCCGGAAUCGCUAGUAAUCGCGGAUCAGCACGCCGCGGUGAAUACGUUCCCGGGCCUUGUACACACCGCCCGUCA
rnacentral:rRNA from 1 species